UACGUAGGGUGCGAGCGUUGUCCGGAAUUAUUGGGCGUAAAGAGCUUGUAGGCGGUUUGUCGCGUCUGCUGUGAAAAUCCGGGGCUCAACCCCGGACUUGCAGUGGGUACGGGCAGACUAGAGUGCGGUAGGGGAGAUUGGAAUUCCUGGUGUAGCGGUGGAAUGCGCAGAUAUCAGGAGGAACACCAAUGGCGAAGGCAGAUCUCUGGGCCGUAACUGACGCUGAGGAGCGAAAGCGUGGGGAGCAAACAGG
rnacentral:rRNA from 1 species